rnacentral:rRNA from 1 species
GAUGAACGCUGGCGGCGUGCCUAAUACAUGCAAGUCGAGCGAACAGACGAGGAGCUUGCUCCUCUGACGUUAGCGGCGGACGGGUGAGUAACACGUGGAUAACCUACCUAUAAUACUGGGAUAACUUCGGGAAACCGGAGCUAAUACCGGAUAAUAUAUUUAACCGCAUGGUUCAAUAGUGAAAGACGGUUUUGCUGUCACUUAUAGGUGGAUCCGCGCCGCAUUAGCUAGUUGGUAAGGUAACGGCUUACCAAGGCAACGAUGCGUAGCCGACAUGAGAGGGUGAUCGGCCACACUGGAACUGAGACACGGUCCAGACUCCUACGGGAGGCAGCAGUAGGGAAUCUUCCGCAAUGGGCGAAAGCCUGACGGAGAAAAGCGGCGGGAGUGAUGAAGGUCUUCGGAUCGUAAAACUCUGUUAUUAGGGAAGAAAAAAUGUGUAAGUAACUAUGCACGUCUUGACGGUACCUAAUCAGAAAGCCACGGCUAACUACGUG